rnacentral:rRNA from 1 species
UACAGGAGGUGGCAAGCGUUGUUCGGAAUUACUGGGCGUAAAGGGCGAGUAGGUGGCCAUCUAAGUCAGGACGUGAAAUCCCCCGGCUUAACCUGGGAACUGCGUCUGAUACUGGACGGCUAGAGUUUGGGAGAGGGAUGCAGAAUUCCAGGUGUAGCGGUGAAAUGCGUAGAUAUCUGGAGGAAUACCGGUGGCGAAGGCGGCAUCCUGGACCAACACUGACACUGAAUCGCGAAAGCUAAGGGGAGCGAAACAGGG